CCUACGGGCGGCAGCAGUAGGGAAUAUUGCUCAAUGGGGGAAACCCUGAAGCAGCAACGCCGCGUGGAGGAUGAAGGUUUUCGGAUUGUAAACUCCUUUUGUUAGAGACGAUAAUGACGGUAUCUAACGAAUAAGCACCCGCUAACUACGUGCCAGCAGCCGCGGUAAUACGUAGGGUGCAAGCGUUACUCGGAAUCACUGGGCGUAAAGAGCGCGUAGGCGGGAUAGCAAGUCAGAUGUGAAAUCCUAGGGCUUAACCAUAGAACUGCAUUUGAAACUGUUAUUCUAGAGUAUGGGAGGGGUAGGUGGAAUUCUUGGUGUAGGGGUAAAAUCCGUAGAGAUUAAGAGGAAUACUCAUUGCGAAGGCGACCUGCUAGAACAUAACUGACGCUGAUGCGCGAAAGCGUGGGGAGCAAACAGGAUUAGAUACCCCUGUAGUC
rnacentral:rRNA from 1 species